CAAUACAGGAUGAGAGGAAAGAGGAG
rnacentral:piRNA from 1 species